rnacentral:misc_RNA from 1 species
UUGAAUAAACCUGCAGGCUGUUUUGCUGGCCCUCUGGGGCAUGUGCACGCUUGUUAUCUUUAUUUCUUCCACUGUGCACUUAUUGUAGACCUGUUGUGAGGGAUUGUUCAAGUGAAAUUGAACAGAUUGAGGACUUGCUGUGGCUUCAGCUUUGCCUUGUAUUAUUCAGGUCUAUGUUAUUUUAUCAACUCCAAUGUUUAAGAAUGUUGAAAUUGGGUCUUUUGUACCUAUAAAGUUAAAUAUA